GAAUUCCAUGUGUANGUGGUAAAAAUGNGUAAAUAUAUGGAGGAACACCAGUAGCGAAGGCGGCUUGUUGNGUCUUUACUGACGCUGAGGCANGAAAGCGUGGGGAGCAAACAGGAUUAGAUACCCUGGUAGUCCACGCCGUAAACGAUGAGUUACUAAACNGUUGGGUAAAACCAGUGUUGAAGUUAACACAUUAAAGUACUCCGCCUGAGUAGUACGUACGCAAGUAUGAAACUUAAAGGAAUUGACGGGACUCCGCACAAGCGGUGGAUCAUGUUGUUUAAUUCGAAGGUACCCGAAAAACCUCACCAGGUCUUGACAUGNUUCUGCAAAGCUGUAGAAACACAGUGGAGGUUAUCAGUUGCACAGGUGGUGCAUGGUUGUCGUCAGCUCGUGUCGUGAGAUGUUGGGUUAAGUCCCGCAACGAGCGCAACCCUUAUUGUUAGUUACCAGCACGUAAUGGUGGGGACUUUAGCAAGACUGCCAGUGAUAAAUUGGAGGAAGGUGGGGACGACGUCAAAUCAUCAUGCCCCUUAUGACCUGGGCUACAAACGUGAUACAAUGGCUGUUACAAAGGGUAGCUGAAGCGCAAGUUUUUGGCGAAUCUCAAAAAAACAGUCUCAGNCCGGAUUGAAGUCUGCAACUCGACUUCAUGAAG
rnacentral:rRNA from 1 species